GCCCCCAUCGUCUAGUGGCCCAGGACACCGCCCUUUCAAGGCGGCGGCACGGGUUCGAAUCCCGUUGGGGGCA
rnacentral:tRNA from 1 species